UCCUUUUGGGUGGAGCCCUUUGAGGAAUCCCCUUGGCCUGCAUCUCAUCAUUUAUGAAAUUUCUAAGUGUGUGUCGAAUGUAAAUAUGAGCCAAGUCCUGUAGAUUCCUGACAGCACAGGGAGGGAGA